rnacentral:rRNA from 1 species
ACUCGGCCGUGAAACCCGACUGCGCCAAUGGUACUAUCGCUCAAGCGAUGGAAGAGUAGGUCGUCGCCAGGC